rnacentral:rRNA from 1 species
AGCAGCAGCCGCGGUAAUACAGAGGGUGCGAGCGUUAAUCGGAUUUACUGGGCGUAAAGCGUGCGUAGGCGGCUUUUUAAGUCGGAUGUGAAAUCCCUGAGCUUAACUUAGGAAUUGCAUUCGAUACUGGGAAGCUAGAGUAUGGGAGAGGAUGGUAGAAUUCCAGGUGUAGCGGUGAAAUGCGUAGAGAUCUGGAGGAAUACCGAUGGCGAAGGCAGCCAUCUGGCCUAAUACUGACGCUGAGGUACGAAAGCAUGGGGAGCAAACAGGAUUAGAUACCCGCGUAGUCCCUGUCUCUUAUAA